ensembl:lncRNA
AUAACUAUGUAAUUGAUGUAAAAGGCUGACUUAAAUACAAACUCUAUAUAAAACUUAUUGAAAGUUCUUUAAAAACAGUUUUAUUGUAGCUUUUUCAAAAACUGUAUAUUGUUACUUCUAUUUUUUUUUUAACCAGACUGGAUAACAAAUAGGUCUAUACUUCUGUAAAGCAAUAUACAGAAUAAAUCUCAACAAUCAACAGUCUAUAAUAAAACUCUUAACUUUUAAGUAGACUUUGUGUAAAUCUUUAAGAUAUCUAAUAUUUUAAGCAAAUAUGAGUGAUGGUGUGGUGAUCAGAUGACAGGCGAUGAAGAUUCUUCAGCUGGAUGUUCUGCAGCAGUCAGGAAACAGGAAGUCUGGGUUCUCAGGGGAGCCUCUAGAUGACAAUUGUAACUGAAUACUUACAGAGUGACAAAAAAGGGUUUGUCCUUAAAUAAUAAUAGUAUAAACUUGCAGUCAAAUGUUAUAGCCAAUGAAACAGACUUGAAAAAUAUAUUUGAAUCCAAUUUAUUAUCUAUGUGAAUAUAACAGUCUGAAUGUAUGUAUUACAAAAUAACCAGAUUAUCUUAUUACAAAUAAACCUUGAAAAAGUGUAAUGUAAAAAUUAAAAUGACAAAUGUAGGACUGUGUAAGUAGUUUCUACUGUGAGUUCUACUGUAGUGUAAUUCUACUACUGUAAUUUCAAGUUUCUACUUGUGAUUUCCAGCAAAAUGACUGGAUGUGAGAGAGUUUAACGACAGGAAAGAUGGAGCAGUGAGAGCGGAGAUCUCUCAGAAUUCUGAAAACAGAUCGACGAAGUUCUGGUAACUUCAAUUCCAAAAACUUAGAUUCUGGUAAAACUUGAUUUCAAGUCACAGGAUUGCGUUUCAACUCAGGUUCAAGCUUGUCAACUUAGAUAGAGCUCAUGGCGGAGAAAUGAUAGAAGAUAGAAUGGCUUGUCAAAAAAGAUGGAGCAGGGAGAGGGAGAGUGAUAGGACAGACUGAAUUGCUUGUUAAUGAUAGAGGGAGAGGGUAUUCUGCAGCAGGUCACCUGUAAGACAGAAAGAGACUGGAAUUAGGCAUAUUUUCAAUAAACAUGGCUUCCAAGUAUUUUUCUGACUAUAAGGCACAUUUAAAAGCCUUUAAUUUUCUCAAAAAAUCAACAGUUUACCGUAUGUAUUAAUUCUGGCUGUGCUUGCUGACCUCAAACCAAUUUUAUGUGUUACACGGCGCUCAAACAUCUGUCAAAAUGUUUUAGUACGACUUUGGAAAGCUACAAAGCUGCAGCGCUUGAUGGAUUGUUGGAGCAUUACAGCUACAGUAGUCAGGUGCCUCGCGGAGUAAUUCCUAUUGUCCUUAAACAUAAUAUUAUGGUGUGUGUAUGAGAAUCUGGCACCUGUUUAGAGACAUGCGUCAUUGAAGCAGAUUUCAAACCGAUCAAUCCAUGAAGAAUUUGAUAGAUUUGUGGAAGAGGACUGAACAGAAAAAGUUAGUGUAUUGUUAUGUGUUACCACUGAAAAAUGUUGAGAGUUACUGUGAAUGAGUUGAAUAGUUUGAGUUAUCUGAAUAUUUGGUUAGCUGCAUACGCCUUAUAACCCGAAAAAUACAGUACAUACAGGGCUUUACAUAUUGAAGAGUUCCACAGUACAUUAUUGGACUGAACUGAUAGAAAAUGCUCAAAAAUGGUGGUGGAACUAUCCUAAAGAAAUUUUUACAUUCUAUUAACAUAAUAAAAACAAACAGUGUCUAUAAACUUAAACCAAGAUGUGCUGCUACAAUAACCUACUGUAAAUAUCAUAUGGUCCAACAAAACACACACACUGAGGUUAGAGCAGACAGUUUCAGGCCACCUGCUUAAAAUUCUUGCCACAUCACAUGUUCCUUAAUCCCCAAAGUUCUCAAAUCACUGUUUCUGUGUGUACUUACCUGGGACAACAGUACAUCAUAAUAUCUGGGCACACAGAAACAGGGAUUUGAGAUCCGUUAACAUAAAAGUAAACAAUACUGUUUCUACAUAUUUCAGUCACAUUUGGGGUAUGUUUAAUACACAGCCAUAAGCACUCCACUAAAUCUAGGACAUACUUAUAAUGACCGAUUUAAAGGCCUAAUUAAAAAUAUAUAUGACCAUAAUUUCUUUGUAGAUCAUUUAACCAUAAAAUACAGAAAUGAAUGCUGUAUCUGUGCUUUUGAUUGUUUCCAGUCAUCAACAAAAUCUUUAAUUAUAAAAGACUAAUUCAAAGAGCAGUUUUCAGACAGUGACUUAAUUAUUGAAGGGAAAGAAGCUUUUGAAAUCCACAAGGCCCUAUUUGAAGACUUAAUUGUACCUAAACUGCUGUUCAUGAGCUGCUCUAAUGUGAAAAAAUAUGUGCUGCUACAAUAACCUACCUACGGACCUCUGUAGGUCUGGAAAUGUUUACACAGACUUUACUAGGAUUUGAUGACUUUUGAUGAUCACCAAUAGCUGUGCUCACUCACACCACUACACUGAAUCUCCUAUCAUGAGAAACAUUUCCCCAGCACUGCACCUCAGAAAAACCUUUACUUACCAGACUUGAGACGAUCAGGUCAGCAGUCUAGAGAAAGGAAACAAUUCAUCAGAUCACUGUUAGAUGAUUCAGACUGUUGAGCCUCUUCACACACAAUCCAAUUUACUGUGACACAAAUUAACUAGUAAAAUCCUAAAUUACUUUAAGCUUUUUUAAGUUUACUGUAGUCUGAAGAGGAGAUAAUUGAACUGCAGGGUCUCACAUGGCUUUAGCAUGUGUAAUAAAAGCAUUAUUACUACAGAAAUGCAAAGAACAGGCACCAAUAUUUGUUGGCACAAGUGCAGGAUACACCAAAUAUUUCCUACACAGAAGCCUUGUGGCUCAAACAUUUUCUACAACAGGUCAGUGCUAAUAAAGUGUGAAAAAUCAAAACUUCCUUUCAGGUUAAAAACAUUAAAUACAAAGUAAUUCUUGUAAUCAGAAGCAACAGAAAACCUCAUCAUGUUUUACAUGAUGAGGUUUUACAUGUAAAUAUUGACAUGUUACAAUAACAGAGGUGCAGAAUGUUUGUGAUUAAAAUUAAAUGUCCUAAAAUAUUACACUAAAAAGUCCUUUCAUUGUACCCGUUGCUAGGAAUAUUUAUGCAUUUUGCAAUGUCCCUUUUUGGCAACAUUUCUAUUUAAUUGUAAAAUCAUUAUAUUCACUAAAUAAGUAAUAAACUAAUUAGACACACUGGCUGUAAUUUACCUAACAAUGUCCACUCACACCUCUGGUUCUCUUCGUUUUUAUUAUUGCUUAACUGUUAAAGCUAUUACUUAUACCGAGUGAGGCAAAGUACUUCUACAGUGUUCUGACUUUAAUAUAAUACAUCAGCAGAAUUUGAGAGACAAUAUGAAUCAAUACCUGUGCAGCUCUUAAGUGUUUGAGCAACCACUUAUACUGACUCUCCUAAAACACUUUCACUGUUUUGUCUGCUACUUAAAUCCACAAACAUAAGGACAAAAUGAACACCUGGAUAAAGACAUCUGACAUUUAACUGUUUGAAUUCAAUAAGCCAUAUGAAAUUUAAAUCAUACAUAAAUGGGCUACUAAACUUCAGGGACAUUUUCAGGGACAGUCAGAGGCCCUGUGUGGGGGCUUUGCUGCUACAGGUCACAAAUCUUGUGUUUUUGCCAAUCAGUAAAUGGAAACGUAUCACAAAAAGUCAAACUACUGUAUGUAAGUCGUCAAAUGUGCUACACAAUGCCAGGUUCAUACUGCUUCAGUUACA